GAUGCAGGCUGUUGAAGAUGGUCUUUAAGAGAUGUAUAUGACUUUCAUGACCAAAGAAAAGGGGCUACAAAUGCAGAAGAUUUUUUUUGGUCAGAGAAACCUUGAAUGGAAAGCUUGGACUGGGUGCUCGCUGACUGGCAGCUAUUGGUGUCACGAACGAGGGCCCUCAGCAGACCAGCACCCCAUUCGCCUCCCACUUCCACCCCAGCUCCCCCUCCUUGCCCCCAGCCCCGG